CGAAAGAAAGGUAUUGUUAGUUACGUUUAUUUCGAUCAAGUGUAGGGUAAACCUUUGGUUCUAAGACAGCUAGAAUAUUUUCUCCUAGGACACACCAAGUGUUUCGGUAGUGUUUACUGAUACCAUUAUAGAUCCUGGCUUGCUGAAGUUGUACCGAAAAUUUAGGCUGGGCUAGUCCCAUAAAACAAUUGACAAUGUAUUUAGAUGUCAUCAUUUGGGACGGCAACGUUUUAUUACUUCAACAAGAGAGCCUUGUUCUACAAUAUAAUAGAAUUAAUAUCAUAUCAUGAGCUUAUUUUAGAACUUUAGAAUGCUUCUAAUCAGGACUAGCUUUCAAUUAAAACCGUUCAUUCCUUGACUGUAUAUUUAAAUUUCUGCGCUACGCUACGACUAGACUGUGAUGCAGAAAAUUUACGUAAAUAAAAAAAACGGAAGAGAAUAAAUAAAUAUAAAUGGUAACAGUAAAAGCAAUCAUGGCAGUAUGAAUAUGGGAAUUCAUGCAUCAACAGUUAACUUAAUUUCUCAAGUGCCUGUACCGAGAGUCGGUCAGAGAAAGUAAAGAAAUUAUAAGGAUCCUAGUUUACAUACGAAGGGGGCGUAUUCUUAGGUACAUGUGUGAAACAAAACGCAACAGAACCGCAGUAACAGAAUGUUGAAUAAGAACUAGGCGCGUUUAGUUUAGGUGUUUAUUACCAUGACCUGAUAAACAGGUAUGUUAUUUAAAUACUGUAGACUCCAGUUAAUGUAAACAUUGGUUAGUUAUCGACUGAUCAACCUAUAAUGAAACAUGUGGGCCGAACAUUUAUCUGUUCGGUACACAUUUUAUAAUUAAUCAAAGAUUUAAUUAGAUUAUAUUUAGACAUGAUCAUGUGGUUUAAAACUUGAAUCAAGCAUAAAAAAAAUCUUUAAAGAGUUGGGAAAUUAUAAGUUCAUACUAUAACUUAUUUGAAAAAAAACUACAUUAUUUUUGGAUCAUUUGGAAAGUAACACUCACACAGUGCUUUAAAGUAUCGAAAGAGGUCGUAAAUCGUAGCUAGAUAUCAUGCACUGAACAAUUUUCAUAUAAAACUAAUGACAACAGUGUGUUCGAGGCGACCUUCCGCGAGCGUUCUGGUCGAUUGCGUUAGAUAGGAAUGCAGCACGAUCACGACUGUAUGUGGGACGCAGAAAUAACCGAACAACUUAUUGAAAUUACCUACACAACAGCCGACACGUUCACGACGCACGCAGCGCCCUGCGACAACUAUAUCUAGUACCGAAAUAGGUAAUUAUCCGUAACGUUAUUAUCUAAUAAAAAUGUUUGGGUCCACUUCGAAGUAUGUUUAGCAAAACCGUUAGAUCUUUUUAUAGCUCAAGAGUUUUAAGACUUUGACAUACUCAGCAGUACCGACUUUCUUAGCUAUAGUCGAAAACUCAUUGAAAGAAAUUAUUUCAUUUAUUUUCAAAGACUGCCAAUUCAGAAUUAGCAACGUUUAUUACUUUCAUUACUUAACAGUCCUUACAUAAUAAUCAUCUACGAAAGUAAAUUAAAUUACUCUUAGCAACAAUUUAUUUGGAUCACGUCAUAAAAUUGAGCGUCAGCAUCGCCAUAACAAAGAUGUUACAUCUAUUAUUCAACGAACAAUUAAGUCACUGAUCACAGCAAUGCAUUCGAAGAGAUUUGAAAUAGAAAUGUAAUGAAUGAUUGCAUGAAAUUCAAUGCAACACGAGUGAAAAUUAACGUUGUUUGCAGUCCCGAUGAGAAUGUUUCGGAAAAGAGGGAAAGUACCCAUCGAGUUGUGGUUCACGCUUCGCCGGAGACGCGCGACCAAGCAAGCCUGCCCCAGCCGCCUGAGUAAUUAGCAUGCACUCGUCAGCUCAAAUCAUACGCUGACGAGAUGAAAGGCGUAAAGAGAAACUUGAUUGGUGUUCAAUUUAACAUCACGAAUUAAUCACAAGAUUUUCCUUUACAACUGCUGUUAAUCAAAUCAACGGUGACGUAAUCGAUUAAACUACAAGAUUUGCUCAUGACUGUUUGACACAAUAAUAGUCUUUGGACGUUGAAAUAAAUUGAUUAUUUGUCCUCAGCAAGUGCAUGAAUGCCGGGAACCAAUUUCAACCACUUUGUAUUCAGAUUGUGAAGAGCACGACAAGUGGUACAAUAGAAUGUAAUUUGCCGUAAGUAGAAAAUACAUUUCUACAAAUCGAAUUCUUAAAACUUAUUGGGUCGCGGCAAAUAUUUUGAUAAAGUCUGUAGUGUGUAAUAAGAAAACACAUGUUCUCAUGGAAUUUGUAAUUAUAAAUGUACGCAUCGGAGACAUGUAGUUGAAAUGUUGGGUAAACAUUUGGAUCUGCCAGCUUUGCCAAAUGGUUCUCAUGUAAACAGACUGAAGGUUAAAUUAUUAUGCCAGGCACAAAGAAAAUAAUCGAUUUUAUGAGCUGAAUGAAAUAGUUUUGUAAUUGAUGGUGUUCUUACUCUACUGUUUUUAUCGCCUUUCGGCAUGCGGUCUACACGUUUAAAAGAGUAUUUUCCCGUAGAAGUUUACUGCUGCAUACAUUUAAUUAGGUAAGUGAAAGUGUUCGUGACAAAUCAUAGUUAAAAAUGUAAUCUAACGCUGCAUACCAAUCUAUAAAACGAAAGAACCAUAAUAGCCCUUGAAAAUAUACCGUAACAAUAUGGCAGACAGAGGGGUAGCGACUGGUAAUUCAAUUAGCUUUUCCACACCCUUUCAUGGCGCCGCCCAUUAAAAAAGGUUUUAAAAGAAAAAGUUAUUUCCUAACUAAGGGUUCCUUUUACUAAGGACGUAAAAAACUAACUUUGAAACUUUGAUAGGAUCUCGUUAAAUUUUCAACACUCGAUAAAAUCUUUUUAAAAGAUGCAUCAAAGGGCCUGCGUGGAACACCUAGAAAACUGUUAAAGAUUCUUAAUAGUUCUGAGAAGGAAAGCAAGCGGUUACAUUAACAAUUGUGGCGAGUUGUUGUAACAACAACUAGUUCAAAGGAAACUCCUAUUUGUGCGGCGCUGCGUCCGGUCUAUUGUGUACAAACGGUGCUAUAGUUGGAAUUUAUUUAUUUAAAGGUACUAUUAUAGCCUCACUUUUAAGUGAUUAGCUAACGAUAACUUAAAUGGUUUUGACAAUUAACGUAAUAGUAAUAAGAGGAUAUUUGCAUAAGCGUUUCUGAAUUGCAAGUCUCCACAUAUGCCAGGUUAAACAUUUAUCAAAACAAAUAAAAUAAGACCAAACCAUUCGUCUAAUUCUUGUGUGUUUGGCUUCUCCUACUGAAGAAACCUUCUCCUCAGGACUAAAGAAAAUCUUAUAGAAAGUAGAAAAAGAUAAAAGCUAAGGCUGUUUAUUGAUCAAAUUAUCCUCAUAAUAAAAACGCAAAUUACACUCGCCGGUAAAUGAAUAUGAAUACAUAUAAAACUGUAAGUGAAAUUAUCCCACGCAGAUCUCGUCGAGACCAAGUGUAACCUAAUAGCUGGUAAGUUCCGGUAGUGUCCGAGCCCCAAGACUCAGUUUUAUUUACGCAAACUUUCUUCACAACAUGUUAUCUGAUCAGUGCCCAGCAACCUUGCGGUCAGGCGGUUCAAUCUUAGUACAAAAAUCUGGGGAAAUCAGUGGUUACAACGAUACUAAUUCACGAUGUGUCUGUUAGUCCUUAAGCGAACAAGUAGGAAGGUGUUUUCUUAUUUUGUCGGGUUAUAACGGGUAUGGUACUGACUCUGGAUACCAGGUGGCGGCUCUGCACUAAUGUUCACUAAAAUUCCAACAGAUGGCACUGAACAGAAUCUAACAAUGACAAUUUAUUGAGAGGCAGAUUGCUACUAAAAGAGUAGUUUUUAUUUUAUUUGCCGGAAAAUAUUAUUAAUUAGUUAAAAAAAAUUAUUAAUAUAAAUUUGUUAAUAAGACAUUUGAUUGUUAGAGGGAAAUAUUAUCAAAUAAUCCGAAAAUGUUAAACAAUAUCUAUCCAAACUUUACUCCAUGAGAUUAUGGUGAUGGUAGAAUUUUGUUGGUGGUCUAUUUUUCAAUAAACUGGUACCCCCAAAUGCAAAUGUCUACUGAUGCCUGACGCUCGCGCCGGUUUCAUGUGAUAUUUUUGUGUUCGUGUUGUGUUCUUUCUGUAUGUCGUUGUUCAUUUGUCGUUGAGUUGAGCAAAAGUUCCUCCGGAUAAUCCACAAUUGUGACCAGAAAGGAAUUUAGUGUGCUUUUAUUCCAAAAGUGAGAUAGGACUCUUUUAGUGCAUUUGUUUUAAUGCACUAUGUCUUCGGACAAGCAUUGCUGUGUCCCAGGGUGCAAGGAGAGUGGAGGUAUGCGUCCAGUGCUUCAUAGGUUCCCGAACCCUGAAAGCGAUAGAGAAAGCUUCAAUACAUGGCUUUAUGCGAUCGGUAGUGAUAUAUUGGGCUUGGAAAACAAGCACAUAUUUAAAUACCGCCGUGUGUGUCGCUCACACUUCGAAGAUAAAUAUCUAUGCCGUAACAACAAAAUCAGCAUCAUUGCUGUGCCAACAUUGAAUAUGCCAGCACCAUUAUCACUGAAGAGAUUGAAAUCUGUUGAAAAGAAGCCUUUACAACAAAUUCUGGAGCUGCCAUCAACAUCAUCAGACCCCACUUUAAAUAUUAAAGAUUUGCUGCAUACUUCAAUGAAAAUUGGAAAGGAUGUACAAAAAGAAAAUAUUGGUAAGUCUUUAUGAUUUCUUUUUUAAUUAAAGAAAAUUUGAUUGUUGUCCAUGAUUAUGUUUCUACUAUACCACAUGAUUAUUUAGACAAAUAUUUUUAGAUUGCUUAUUAUUAAAACAAACUCAUAUUUCAGAGCCGGAAACUCCAGUGCAUGAGCAUAACAUGCCACUUGGAAAGGUUUCAAUACCCAAGAAAAAUAUGAAACAAAAUCUUGAUAAGAACAUCCUUCCGGCAGAGUGCAAACAAACUGCGGACCUGCUGUUUUUCAUGGACGACAUAUUUGACUCCGUGAAUGGCAGUAAAAUGAAAAAUAAAUAUGCUAAACCCCUACUUGGCCCAGCAACACCAUACUCUGACCACCAAAAAACGUGGAUUGAGGGCAUACAAAUAUUUAAUUCUAUAAAAUUUAUAACACCAUCUGGUAAAACAGAAACGGUUCCCUCUGUUACCAAUUGGGUGUGGACACUGAAAGGAAUUCAAACUUUAUUAAAAAAAGUAAAAGAUAAUUAUUACGUGUCAUCACUAUGGUUGCGGCACCUUAAUCAGGACCCCUUAGAAAAUUUCUUUGGCGCGGUGCGAAGUCAUGGGUGUCGCAACACUAACCCAACCUGUGAUCAAUUCGAAUCUGCUUUUGCCACACUUUUAAUAAAUAAUUUAAGCAGUGUUCACACCCGCGGUAAUUGCGAAGGAGACUUUUGCGAUGCAUUGCACUCGUUCAUCAUCAACGAAAAUGCGAAAGCAACAUCGACCUGUACCUCAUUCGAUUUUUCUAAAAUCUUUGAUUUUAAUUUUACCCCCCUAGAGGUAAAAGAAAGGGACCCCCGAAUUAUUUCACCAAUACAAUAUAUGAGUGUAUAUUUCUUAAAAAAAAUUAAAUCAAAAGUUUUUAAAUCUUGCACUGAUUGCAAUAAUGAUUUCUCAUCAGUAAAUGAAAUAGAAUAUAUUAAAUAUAGGGAAUAUGCAGGUCGAAGUUGGCUUUGCACUCCCAGCAAAGACUUGGUAGAAUUGAUUUCAAAUAUGCAAGACAUAAUCAAUGAAAUAAUUAAA